rnacentral:rRNA from 1 species
UACGAAGGGGGCUAGCGUUGCUCGGAAUCACUGGGCGUAAAGCGCACGUAGGCGGCUUUCUAAGUCAGGGGUGAAAUCCUGGAGCUCAACUCCAGAACUGCCUUUGAUACUGGAGUGCUUGAGUCCGGGAGAGGUGAGUGGAACUCCGAGUGUAGAGGUGAAAUUCGUAGAUAUUCGGAAGAACACCAGUGGCGAAGGGCGGCUCACUGGCCCGGUACUGACGCUGAGGUGCGAAAGCGUGGGGAGCAAACAGGG